rnacentral:rRNA from 1 species
UACCAGCACUAAAUCACCG